UGCCAUCGUAGACUUCCUCUGACUAAGAGUAAAUCCUAUUUCUGUUACUUGUCAUAGGGAAAUCGAAAUUUAAACCAUGAUUGUGUUUAUUUUAUUAACACAUUCUCUUAGUGUGGUGUGGUGUGGUUUUGAUUUACAGAAAGGGGG